rnacentral:lncRNA from 1 species
GUUAAACGGAAACAAAUCGGAAUAAGCCGUACGCAUAGUGAUCGGAAACAAUUCCGUUCCCCACCACUUGGAGGAUCCGUUUUUGACCGACAAUCUAAACGGAUAUGUUUCCGUGGACAGAUGAAGACUGUGUUGCCCCCUCCCCUCAAAUUAAUUCAAUCGAAGGGGCUGUCGCAGUGGCAGUCGACACCUAAUGCCUAAUGAAUGACAGAUCCUUUCAUUCACUAAAUCUUGGUGGUCAAGCAAGAUGGUGUUGGGAACACACAGUGACCCAGAGUUGUUUACGUCUUGUGCACAUUCUGUGUUGGCUUCUAUUCACCCAAGUAAUCAAUAAUCCCUUUUGUGUCUUCCCUAAAGCAAAGGAUUCUAUCAGCUGCUUGCUUCAUUUGAAUCCAGUUGACAGUUACAUUUACUAGCUGUUCGAAGUUUUAUGGGUGGCUACUGUUUAGUAUUAGUAACAUUAAGCUUCAUCUGAUUUAAGUAAAAGAAAUAUUAAGGGAAAAACGACUCUUUGGAAACUAACAUAAACAUCAUGGUAUAGGAGUUAUAUAUAUGGUAUAUGGUAUAACUCCUAUACCAUGAUAAACAUGUACCAAUCCUUUACACACAAAACAACAACAAAAGAAGAGCUUGUUAUGGUGCUGUAAUAGUAUAUUUGCAGAAUUGCAAAAUUGCUUGCCUGAAGAAUGUACUCAGGAUUGAAAAAUGUUCACAGCAAAAACGUCUAGUUUCAAUUCUAAACGUCAAAUAAACAGAUUUCCGGGCAAGCCGGUCAUGAAGGAAAUGGAAGAAUAUUCUCUGUAUUACAUGGCAAGAAGAAUACAUCCUUGACGUCACCUCUGUGCUGCAGAAAAAUCAGCAAAUCUACAUCCUAAUUUUCUGCUGUUCCGUCAGUCACUCCAAUGCUUUCGACAACAGGACAUCAGCAGCAUUCUUCAAUCAGACUGCUCCUGUUUGUUUUGAAGAUGUAUUGCUUGUCAUGCCUGAAUUACGUUGUUUCCCUACUUCAUUGGACAGCAGACUUAGAUCACAUGUCGACUGUGAAAAAGAUCAUCUUUGUUACCGAAAAUGGCUCUCUCCAUUCGCGACACCAGACCUCCCCAGUGUGUCAUUCUGAUGCAGAGCUCCAUAAAUGAAGUUGAACGUUUUGAACCAUCUCAGGCCAAAGCUGAAAGGUAUUAGGAAAGUAGUCGCUUUUUGGCUAGAAUUUCUACGCCAUCAGAUGCAUCAAUAGGAAUGGUGUUCACUUCCUCGACGUCAUUGCUCACAAAACUUUUAUGCAUUGUUCUUAUCUCGAAGUUAUAUCGACUUGAAAAGGCCAAUCGGAAGAGAGUACUCUUUUCCUUGACAUAAAGAACGGAAAUUUAAUGCAUUAGCAAGUCAUCCGCAUCCAACCAGAUCAAACGCUCGAGAUAUCCCGCCUCGUCCGGCAACUUACUAUCCAGCAACGCAUCCAUCAACACUAAUUGACUACAUGCCGAAUCGACGAUUUCCAUACAAGAUGAAUGUUAAAAUCCAAGGAGAUCUGGUGAGCAGGAUGCAACGGACUAUGUCAUGUCAAACCAUUAGCUGAAUACAACGAAUACCAUCAGCAUCAGCUCUCCAGAACGAGAGGUUAAUAAUCAUACUGAAUCAAAAGAGAUACCUAGUUGAACGAGAUUUUAGAAUGAUAACGACUGGAAGUGCAAGUGGAAAUUUCAAAGAACGCUACCUGCACGUUAGAUUUCAUCGCUGAUUCAUCUCGAAGAUAAAAUAAUUAAUUUUUAUAAAUUGAAGUGCAUAUCUGGGCUCCCUUCUUUUCUGUGGUCCCGUUUCCCCUUGACUUGUGAUAAGCCCGUAGGGGGUCAUGCCCCUACUGUGA